rnacentral:rRNA from 1 species
AGGCAGCAGUAGGGAAUCUUCCGCAAUGGACGAAAGUCUGACGGAGCAACGCCGCGUGAKCGAUGAAGGCCUUCGGGUCGUAAAGNUCUGUUGUUAGGGAAGAACAAGUAUCGGAGUAACUGCCGGUACCUUGACGGUACCUAACCAGAAAGCCACGGCUAACUACGUGCCAGCAGCCGCGGUAAUACGUAGGUGGCAAGCGUUGUCCGGAAUUAUUGGGCGUAAAGCGCGCGCAGGCGGUCCUUUAAGUCUGAUGUGAAAGCCCACGGCUCAACCGUGGAGGGUCAUUGGAAACUGGGGGACUUGAGUACAGAAGAGGAAAGCGGAAUUCCACGUGUAGCGGUGAAAUGCGUAGAGAUGUGGAGGAACACCAGUGGCGAAGGCGGCUUUCUGGUCYGUAACUGACGCUGAGGCGCGAAAGCGUGGGGAGCAAACAGGAUUAGAUACCCUGGUAGUCCACGCCGUAAACGAUGAGURCUAAGUGUUAGGGGGUUUCCGCCCUCUUAG